AGUUUUAUAUUCAAUAAUGAUUUUAAAUUGCAAAUUUAAAGGUGAAUGUUAUUCUGAAACUU
rnacentral:tRNA from 1 species